GGAGAAAAACAAACGGCCAUGAUGUAGUGGGUUCAGUAAAUGGAGUCCACAGUGACGUUUUGAUGGUUAUCAUCAACGGUCACAAUCUCAGCCCUAGUCGUUUACGCUAUCCCUCAACCGCAAAUAACAAAUUUUCUUGUGUUGUUUUUGUUUCUUUGGUUUAGGAGGAAAGAGAGGACCAAACAAGGCCUUAUCACAAGAUUGACAUACACACGCACAGAGCUGACGCUGCAAAACAACAGCUUCAAUUCAAUCCUCUCCACUUUUAGAGAGAGAAAGUAGAUAAACGAGAGAGAGAAAGAGGGAGAGAGAGAGAGAAGAAGUCGUGGAAUUCAAGGCUGCUUCGGCACUCCUCCCGCCGAAAAGGGUACUGCUCUGUGAAAUCAAACCACUCUCAAGGUGUUUUUGUCUAAGAUAUGGGGAAUUAAGGCAUUGACACCCUAUGAAGCAUGGACACUCCAAAAAUGGUGCCGUGGCAGUGUCCGACACGCGGACACGCCGGGGACACGGGGACACGCCGGGGACACGUACUGGACACGCCAGAUGGCGUGUCCCUUUAAUUUAAUGAUUUUUUUGGAAGGGGACACGGCAGGGACACGCCGGGGACACGCGUGUCCAUAUCUGGACACGCCAUGGGACACGGCGGGGCUCUUUUUCGAAUUUUUUAUAUUUAUUUGGGGUCAAAGUAUAAUAUUUAAAAAGUUAAAAAAAAAAAAAA